UAGGGAAUCUUGCGCAAUGGGCGAAAGCCUGACGCAGCCAUGCCGCGUGAAUGAUGAAGGUCUUAGGAUUGUAAAAUUCUUUCACCGGGGAAGAUAAUGACGGUACCCGGAGAAGAAGCCCCGGCUAACUUCGUGCCAGCAGCCGCGGUAAUACGAAGGGGGCUAGCGUUGCUCGGAAUUACUGGGCGUAAAGGGCGCGUAGGCGGAUAGUUUAGUCAGAGGUGAAAGCCCAGGGCUCAACCUUGGAACUGCCUUUGAUACUGGCUAUCUUGAGUUCGGGAGAGGUGAGUGGAAUGCCGAGUGUAGAGGUGAAAUUCGUAGAUAUUCGGCGGAACACCAGUGGCGAAGGCGACUCACUGGCCCGAUACUGACGCUGAGGCGCGAAAGCGUGGGGAGCAAACAGGAUUAGAUACCCUGGUAGUCCACGCUGUAAACGAUGAGUGCUAGUUGUCGGCAUGCAUGCAUGUCGGUGACGCAGCUAACGCAUUAAGC
rnacentral:rRNA from 1 species